rnacentral:rRNA from 1 species
GACGGAGGGUGCAAGCGUUGCUCGGAAUCACUGGGCGUAAAGGGUGCGUAGGCGGGUCUUUAAGUCAGGGGUGAAAUCCUGGAGCUCAACUCCAGAACUGCCUUUGAUACUGAGGAUCUUGAGUACGGGAGAGGUGAGUGGAACUGCGAGUGUAGAAGUGAAAUUCGUAGAUAUUCGCAAGAACACCAGUGGCGAAGGCGGCUCACUGGGACGGUACUGACGCUGAGACGCGAAGCGUGGGAGCGAACAGG